AGUCGCCUACGGGGCGCAGCAGUGAGGAAUAUUGGUCAAUGGUCGGGAGACUGAACCAGCCAAGCCGCGUGAGGGAUGAAGGUACAGAGUAUCGUAAACCUCUUUUGUCAGGGAACAAAGGCGGGGACGUGUCCCCGGAUGCGUGUACCUGAAGAAAAAGCAUCGGCUAACUCCGUGCCAGCAGCCGCGGUAAUACGGAGGAUGCGAGCGAUAUCCGGAUUUAUUGGGUUUAAAGGGUGCGCAGGCGGUCGGUUUAGUCAGCCGUCAAAGCCCGGG
rnacentral:rRNA from 1 species